GACGGAGGGGGCUAGCGUUGUUCGGAAUUACUGGGCGUAAAGGGCGCGUAGGCGGCCAUGUGUGUCAGGGGUGAAAUCCCAAGGCUUAACCUUGGAAUUGCUCUUGAAACUGCGUGGCUAGAGUGAGUGAGAGGCGGACGGAAUUCCGAGUGUAGCAGUGAAAUGCGUAGAUAUUCGGAGGAACAUCGGUGGCGAAGGCGGUUCGCUGGUGCUCAACUGACGCUGAGGCGCGAAAGCGUGGGGAGCAAACAGG
rnacentral:rRNA from 1 species